AGAAUAAAGCCUGUAUCAUUUGCCCUUUGGGUCGUAUGUUGAGAUUUCCUUUGUAGUCAAACAGUUAACGUCUGUAAACAUUCUGCAUAUUUAAAGAAAUAUGCCUUCUCUCUUUAGGAAAAGUAUCUUUAAGUUUACUUAUUAAAUCAACUUUGUUAAUUAUGUUUUUCAAAUACUCUACAUUCUUAUUUUCCACAUGUCUUAACCUGUCAGUGGCCUGGAGCUUGUGGUUUGAAAACUUCUCCUGUAUCUCCAAUAAUGUGUUUAUAUAUUUUGAGGCUGUGUUGUUUCAUAGAGUAAAGAUUUGUUUCUACUGUAUCUUCAUGGUGGAUAGUGCAUUUAAUUGAUAUAAAAUUUCUGUCUUUGUUCCCUUAGAUUACUAAAGGCAACCUUUUCCCCAGUGUGGUGCUCCUUGUGAUUUUUUUUUGAGAGUCUGGAGUUAUUUCACAUUUUUCCUGCUUCUCCCGCUGCUCCAGACCUCAACAGCGAGCCGUCCCCAGGCACACUUCUCCUUCCAUUUGGAAAUUUGUUGAGAGCUGGACUACAUCUCAAGAUCCCUCCAAGUCUAAAGAAGAUGCCACAAAUACCAUCAACUACAAAAUGAAAGGAAUAUGCGUCCAGUGAUGGAUUUUUGCAGACUUUAGCAGGCUCUACCCUUCCACCAUGCCUAUCCUUCAGGAAUGUGCUGGACAACUAUCAAUGUUUGGGAUAAAGGAACAUGAUUCAUGGAAAGGAUGAAUCUCCCUUAGAAGGCUUGGGGAUCUUCUCAACCCAGGGAUCAAACCGAGGUCUCCUGUAUUGCAGACAGAUUCUUUACCAACUGAGCUAUCAGGGAAGCUCAACUAUUAAGUGUAUUAUCACCCUGGAUGUGUUGAGUUCCCUGCUGUCUUUUCUGCUUGACUGGUAACAAGGUGGCCCAUAUGAACACCAACAGCAAAUGGACUGACUCAAGUCUCCUGGUCUUAACAGCCUGAAGUUCUGCCAGAUUCACCCAUCAGAAAUAAUUUCCUCUUGAAAACGAAUGUCAGUAAUUCUCUAUGGAAGCUAAUAUCACCAACUUGCAAAUGGGUGAAAAUAAACUGAGGCACAGAAGAUUAAGUAAUUUUCCCAAAAAUUCAUAAAUAGAAAAUGACAGAACUUGGCUUCUUAACCACCGUAUUCUAACUGCUUCCAACAGAUGGGAAGAUGGUUGCUUUUAGAGAACAAAAUUUGUCAUCCGGAUACACCUAGUGUUUAAUGAUGUCAGUAAGGAAACAGUACACCCUUUGGUCCAGAGGAGGCCAUGGUUAUUCUGGUGAAGCACAAGGGCAUGGCCAUUUUGCUCAAUCACUCUGCAGAGGGUCCAAAGCUGUGAAGCAGAGUAAACUCAGGACAGACAGCUGGAAUCCUGGGAGUGUAACCUCACCAACAGAUGAGCUGGUUGGGGUGCUCCGUAUUUGGGAUGAUAAACUGCUGUCUGUCGUCUGAAGAGGCUGCACUAUGGCCUUUCUUCACUGAUCACCAAGCCGAAAACCUCUGCCUCUUUUCUCGCUGAUGAUUCCCUCUGCCUGGAAAGCCUUCUUCCCCAGAUGGUCCCAUAACUACUACCUUCUCUUCACUUGGGCCUGAGAUCAACUGGCACCUUCUCCAAGAGGCCCUGCCUUGACCCCAGGUCCCAAAGAACCUCCCCCAUCAGUGUAUCCUGGCAUUCUCUUAUUUUCUCUUUAGCAUGUAAGAUUCUUUAGUAAGAACCCUAGAAUUGGACUUCCCUGGUGGUCCAAGAAUGGUUGAGAAUCUUGCUGCCCAUGCAGGGGAACAUGGGUUCGAUUCCUGGUCCAGGAAGAUGCCACAUGCCGCGGGGCAACGAAGCCCGUGCACCGCAACUACUGAACCAGGGCUCUAGAGCCUGGGAGCUGCAGCUACGGAAGCCCUCACGCCCCAGAGCCUGGGAGCUGCAGCUACGGAAGCCCUCACGCCCCAGAGCCUGGGCUGCAACAAGAGAUGCCACUGCAAUGAGCAGCAGCAGCCCCCACUCACCACAACUGGAGAAAGCCCGUGAGCAGCAACGAGACCCAGCACAGCUGAAAAUAAAUAUAUAAAUAAUUUUAAAACCCUAGAAUUCCACUAUUUGAUAAGAAUAAAUGUAUAUAAUAGUUAUUGAUAAGUUAGUAUUUCAUCAUUUUUAAGUUGCUAAGGAAUCUCUUUAAUAUGAAGUACUCUGAAGGCUUACAAUACAUUGCUUAUCUUUUUAGAGUCAGACCAUAACUUUGGAGGGCAUGCAAAUAUAUGGCUAGGGGAAAAUGUCUGUAUUAGGUUACCUUACAGGUUCUAAAGCUAAAUAACUUCUGUGCAUGAUCAGUAGAUUAAAAAUUUACUCUCAAAAA